GACGAACGCUGGCGGCGUGCCUAAUACAUGCAAGUUGAGCGCUGAAGGUUGGUACUUGUACCAACUGGAUGAGCAGCGAACGGGUGAGUAACGCGUGGGGAAUCUGCCUUUGAGCGGGGGACAACAUUUGGAAACGAAUGCUAAUACCGCAUAAAAACUUUAAACACAAGUUUUAAGUUUGAAAGAUGCAAUUGCAUCACUCAAAGAUGAUCCCGCGUUGUAUUAGCUAGUUGGUGAGGUAAAGGCUCACCAAGGCGAUGAUACAUAGCCGACCUGAGAGGGUGAUCGGCCACAUUGGGACUGAGACACGGCCCAAACUCCUACGGGAGGCAGCAGUAGGGAAUCUUCGGCAAGGGACGAAAGUCUGACCGAGCAACGCCGCGUGAGUGAAGAAGGUUUUCGGAUCGUAAAACUCUGUUGGUAGAGAAGAACGUUGGUGAGAGUGGAAGGCUCAGCAAGUGACGGUAACUACCCAGAAAGGGACGGCUAACUACGUG
rnacentral:rRNA from 1 species